GCAUUGGUGGUUCAGUGGUAGAAUUCUCGCCUUCCACGUGGGAGACCCGGGUUUGAUCCCUGGCCAGUACA
rnacentral:tRNA from 1 species